AGAUUGAUAGUUUAAUUGGAAGAACACUUGGCUCAUAACUAGAGGUGCGAGUUCAAGUCUCGCUCAAUCUU
rfam:Kordia algicida OT-1 1103813601120 genomic scaffold, whole genome shotgun sequence.